CAGCCCGACUUGACACCAGAGGAUGGAACAAAUGAAACAGAAUCCGCUGAAAUGGAUGACGAUGAGCAGUGUUUCACAAACAUCUUCAACGCUCCUGAAAUCCAAGAGCAACCCAUCUACUCUGGUGCAUCAAUUAACCGUGGACAGCUACUGUGCCUCAUUCUGGCCUUCAUCUUGAAGCACAGCAUUAGUGGCAGUGGAUUAAAAGAUUUGUUGGAUCUUUUAAAUAUUGUAGCACCUGGAUGUGCCCCCACAAGUAAAUACUACUUUGACAAAUCUUUCUUUAAUUUGGCAAAACAAUUCGAAAUUCACCAUUACUGUAAAAUUUGCUCGCAAUAUAUAGGUAAAUUGUUUACCCCUUGCUGCAGUGACGGAAAUGUUGAUGAAAGGGUAAACAAAAAUGAAGGGUAUUAUUUUCUCGUAAUGCCCUUAAGGCAACAACUGAAGGAGCUCUUCCAAAACACUACUUUCUACAAGUUCUUAAACGACAACAAAACAAAUAU